CCUGUCCCCAACAAGGUCCAUGUGGGCAUACACCUUGCUUGUCAUAAAUGGCCAGUGUGGCACCAUUAAAAUUGAGUCCUGUUUAACCCUCAACACGUAGCUUGGUCUUGUGAUUGGAAGGGAACUGCUAUCUCACUACUGGCUCUUAUAAGAGCUAUACAACUAUACUCUCCUGGAGGAGAGGUCUUUCCCACACAGUCCUGGAUAUCAGAGGUUGGUCCAAGAUGGGAGG